GCCUCUGGUUCCCGGGUGCACUUGCUCCGCCCACUUCCUGCUGCUGGAAGGAUCGGCCGCCCUGACCCGGAGGCGGUUUCCUCUCCUGCCCUUUCUGAGGAAGGAGCAGAGCCCAGGCGUCUGGCAGGGAGCUGUUAUAUACUGGUUCUUGGAAGGACACUCCUGACUAGAAGAUACUUGGAGAAAUUACACAGCUUGGAGGUGAGGGGACAUUGCCAUGUCCUUGGGGUCCUCCGCCAUCGGGCACUUGAGCUGAAACUCAUGCCUGAAAACCUCGGGCUGAAAGUUUACGUGCCUCCUUCCAUUGCCGCUAAUCCCAUCACCAUCACUACAUUGUUGUCAUGGUGGCAGAACACUUGGACUUUGCUCCGUUACCCUAGGAUAGCUCCACGGAUGCCCUGACCGAAAAGAUGACAGUGCUGCCCAAGACCCUGCUGGGUCAGCUGCUCUGCCCGCCCAUAGGAGAUGUCUCUUGCUGGGAGUCAGUCAGCUGCUAUGUUCUGACGCUUUGUGACUGAAACAGGCGUCAUUGUCUAUUACGACCUGAUUGCCAAAGGAGUGCCACCAUCUUGGAAGCUGGCCACCAUACCAGGUAAGCAAUGAAGUCAUGGGAAAGGACGAUACUGUCUUAGAGUUGGCCAUGGUUAAAUGCUGUGCCUGGUGGUUUUGUCUAAUAGUCCACAACAAGACGUAUGGUGGUGACAAGGACUGUCUCUUGCAGGCUUUUGACACUAAUGACGAUAAAACUAUCAGUUCACUAUUGAACAUAUGAUGCUGGGCUUUUUUUGUUGUUGUUACUGUUCACUCAACGAUUUUUGGAAUGUAUCCCAUUGUCCUCAGUUUACUAAGGAUUUUUAACUUUACAGUACCUACAGCGAGCAUCUUCAAAUGUGUUUUUUAGUAACCAUUGUUACGAAUAUGGUACUGUAGCAGGGUUGACUGACUAAUUUGGCGAAUCACCUUUAUGGAUGUACCAGUAUGGAAUCAUCCUCAUGUUCUGGGAAGGAACCCUAGGAGGCAGUCCUAUGAUACGCCGCUUAAAGAUCAUCAGAAACCAAAGUGUUUUGAAAACAACUAAGUUUCCAAACUAAGGGCUGUGAUUAAUUAUGUCUUCCUUGUUGAUAGUGGCUCUGAAUCACACAGUUCCUUGGUAAGACACGAUGCAUCUUUUUGCUGAAUUUAUUAUUUACAAUUUGGGACACACAAGCUGUGGCAAACCAUUACAAGUGAUGUCAUAAACAUCUGAGUUCUCCAAGUUGAUUAUGAUUAAUUCCACUUAUUAUUAGGGUUGCAAAAUAAGCUUGUGAGCCCUCACCUCUGUCUUAAAGUCAAACACGCGAUUUUUAUUUCCAGGCAAGUCUUUUAGCACUUCCGAAGCCAUCUUGUGCAAUGCACUGUUUCUAGAAAGCCUCUGAGGACUCGUUAACUGGAAGGAGUGUGGGAGAAAGUUUUUCAAGUAAAGGAAGGUCUCUAAGGAGAAAAACUAAUAAAUUCCCCCUUGGGGCCCAUGCGUUUUGGUCUUUAAGAGGUUUCAGCUGCACGAUCAGAGUAUUGUGAGCACCAAGUCAGUCCUCUCUGAAAAGAGGCCAUUUCAUCUGUUUUGGCUACUUAGAUGAUUGAUACUCCAUCAGUCUGAGAUACAAGGACCUGGAGCCUGGGAGAAAGCCUUCAACUUAGGGAAGACUAUAAUGGGAAUAACGAGUAGGUUUUGUUUCCUCUCUGUUUUCUCUAGUACAGGGAAAAGAAGUUCUUCCCAUAAUCCCUCUUCCCCUCAGGAAACAUGUUAGGAUUUGAAGACAAAGAACAAGUGAGUGUUAAAAGGUUUUUGUUUUUUGUUUUUUGUUUUUUUUUUUUUGCUUCUCCCUGUCCUCUGUGCAUGUAUACUCAGGGGCCUCUCUCAGAUGUAUGGUUUUGUCAACAUGAAAAGUAAAAACAGCCAGUAAUUUUACCAGAAAAAUGGGUUUAUUUGGGAAUAGCAGAGGAUUUGCAAUUUGGGACACACCAGCUGUGGCAAACCAUAGGCAAGUCCAGAGAUCAAAGGAGAGGAGUAUUACUGUGUAGAGAAAAGGAGGAAGUCCGGAGGGGCUGCUUUAAAGGAAAGCCCAAUGGAGGAAAGUGAGGGUUCAGGGUGGUGACAGUUUCUCAUUGGCUGAGUUGUGGCAUUUUCUUAUUGGCUGAGCUUGUUGCUGGGCAAGAAGAAAGUCUGCCUUCCUCCCGCCGGAAUAGUAAAGUAGGUUUCUUCCGCUCCUUUCUGGUCUUGACUCCAUUUUUAAAUGAGGUUUCCUUUACUCAGUUUCCUAGUUUAGAGACAGAGAUGUGCUGGUAAAUGUUUAAUGACUGACUCUGAGAGAAAAAUAAGCACACGUAUAUGUACGUACGUAUAUAUGUACAAAUGGUGUAUAAAACGUGAUACUGCUUGAAGGUUGAUGUAAAAAUUUCUGUUAAAUAUUUCUUUAUAGAGUUGUAGAAAUAAAUUUUAAGUUAAAAUGCUUCUUGGAAAUUCAGGUUAGACCUAAAACUUCAAAUGAAUGGCUAUUUCUUGCAAAAUAGCAAUUUUAUAAUUUUUAUAAAAUUAUAGCCAUUGUUAUAAUUUUAUUGCCAACAGCAGUGUCACAAAAUCAAACUGGAAAUAACUGCUUAACUGCUUGGUUGCCAUCCAUUUCCAUGACAAGAAGUCACACACACCACUGACCAGUGAGUUUAGAGCUGGCAUAAAUGUUGGUUAUUUUCUUUUAUUUCUUUUUUUAAAAUUUCACCGAAUCAGACAAAUGGGUGUCGGAAUAUUGCUCAGAUGGCAAUGACGUGAGCAAAUACCUUGUGCAAUCAGAUACUGGAAGAAUAUUUGUUAAAUACUUUGGGUUAUUUACCCGUGUCUACGGAUACAUGGCUGAUGCGGUGGCUACAGAUGUAUCCCACUUUUACAUUUAAUCCACAUUUUCUACACGAUGUUCUAGAUGAUCAACAAAACCUUAAAUUUGAAGAGUCAACAAAACAAUAAGUAAAGUCCUGAUUUACAGCACUAGUUGAUUUCCAUGGUGUAAAAAUCCCACCAGGCUGAUUUCUAGCUACCGGCCCAUCUCUGAAAUCAGAGUUGGGAAGUUGUGCGCAGCAUCAUGCCGUUAAAUGGCCCUCUGUCAUUCACAUGUGGUUGGUGAAAAUAGCCUCAGGAGCACAGAUGAUAGUCAAUGUUGGCAAAUAAUUGGGAAGUGGUGAGGAUCUCCAACUGUUGUAAAUUUAAUUUACUUAAUUGCAACUUUAUGUAAUUUAAUUUUUCAAUAAUGGUGAUGCUGGACAACAAGCUUGGAGAAUCCCCAAAAAUGUAACCAUUGGGCCUCACGGGUAGCACAACACUGGCUCUGCGGUGACAAGUUGUAGGGAUUAGGCCGCAAAGGUGACCCCUCCGUGCCUUGGGUGGGGCUCCUCUGUCUCCCUCACUGGACCUUGGCCUUUUCUCUGCAUGGCAUUUAGUGACUCCCUCAUCCAGGCCCGGCUCUCAUAGUCUUGUCCUUGGAGAAGUCAACCCAGUAGCUCUCAUAGACUUCUGUACAUAUGUCUGCUGCAGCAAAAGCUUUUUUAAGACCUAACGAUUACGUGAAAUUAUCUGCUUCGUUUAUCUGUUCACUCCCCUAUCCAUAAGCUCCUUAAAAGGUGGUCUGGUUUGCCACUGAUUUCCCAGGGCCAGGCGCAGUGUCUGUCACAUGGGCAUGCUCAGUAACCCUUGUUUGAUGAGUGGGUGGAUGACAUUUUAAGUCCUUAACUAUACUGAUGUUCCGAGGCUACACCGUGUACUUCCUGGUGUAUGUUUCCUUAAUAAUGCACUUGGUUCAUUUUUAUAUGAUUCUGUUUUGGGACUUCUGCAUGUACUCUAGUAUUUCAGCAUGCUUUUGAGUUUUCCUGUGCUACGUUUGUCUUGUUUUCAUCAGAGUAAUGUUAGCUCAUAGCAUGCCAUAGAAGUUACUGUAUUUUUUUAUGGUUUAUAAAAUCUGGGUUUGUUCGUUGGUUUAAGUUUCUGGUGGAAAUAGAAGGCAUCUGACUAAGAAUGUAUCAUCAAAGAAUUAUAUUCAGAAGUCAUUAGAAAUAAUGUAUUCUUGGGGCACCUGGGGGGCUCAGUCGGUUGAGCCUCGGAGUCUUGAUCAUAGCUCAGGUCUUGAUCCCAGGGUCGUGAGUUCAGGCCUCACGUUGGACU